UAGGGAAUCUUCCACAAUGGACGCAAGUCUGAUGGAGCAACGCCGCGUGAGUGAAGAAGGUUUUCGGACCGUAAAGCUCUGUUGUUGGUGAAGAAGGAUAGAGGUAGUAACUGGCCUUUAUUUGACGGUAAUCAACCAGAAAGUCACGGCUAACUACGUGCCAGCAGCCGCGGUAAUACGUAGGUGGCAAGCGUUGUCCGGAUUUAUUGGGCGUAAAGCGAGCGCAGGCGGAAGAAUAAGUCUGAUGUGAAAGCCCUCGGCUUAACCGAGGAAUUGCAUCGGAAACUGUUUUCUUGAGUGCAGAAGAGGAGAGUAGAACUCCAUGUGUAGCGGUGGAAUGCGUAGAUAUAUGGAAGAAUACCAGUGGCGAAGGCGGCUCUCUGGUCUGCAACUGACGCUGAGGCUCGAAAGCAUGGGUAGCGAACAGGAUUAGAUACCCUGGUAGUCCAUGCCGUAAAACGAUGAGUGCUAAGUGUUGGGAGGCUUCCGCCUCUCAGUGCUGCAGCUAACGCAUUAAGCACUCCGCCUGGGGGAGUACGACCGCAAGGUUGAAAC
rnacentral:rRNA from 1 species